rnacentral:rRNA from 1 species
UACGUAGGGGGCUAGCGUUGUCCGGAAUCAUUGGGCGUAAAGAGCGUGUAGGCGGCCCGGUAAGUCCGCUGUGAAAGUCGGGGGCUCAACCCUCGAAUGCCGGUGGAUACUGUCGGGCUAGAGUGUGGUAGGGGAGAUCGGAAUUCCUGGUGUAGCGGUGAAAUGCGUAGAUAUCGAGAGGAACACCUGCGGCGAAGGCGGGUUGCUGGGCUGACACUGACGCUGAGGCGCGAAAGCUAGGGGAGCGAACGGG